UUGAAACAAGCCAAGGCAGCUUCUCAAUACCAUUAACCAGUCUUGCCUAUCUGUCUCCCACACGUCAUACACAGGGCUAGCCAUUGUUCUAGAAAAUGGAUCUGAGAUCCUGAAAUCCCCAAACCAGACUCAGCUUACCAUUAGUCCUGAUUCAAACAAGAGAGGAGAGUGAUGCCAAUUGCACAAUAGCAGAGAGGAGGGUUCCUUCUGCCAAGCUGAGGCAGAAAUGCCGAACACUUCUAUUUUCUUGCCAAGCAGCUCUUGGACAAUGUCAAACAGCAGCUUCUAAAAUGAUAGCAGGCAUAUUUGGAGGAACCAUUGAAACUGAUAAGAGAAUCUCAGUGAUUCAUUCUUGGAGAACUGAAUUUGAACAAUCCUAGAACUGGAAGGACAAGACUAAGUGAGCUGGACCAGCAGCAUGCCUUGUCAGAAAUAAUAUGAGCCUGCAAAGAGUCUAUAUAGGAGAGGCAGGAGUUGAGAGUGAUGACAACUGAGUGAUCUACAAGAAAGCAGUACGCAAUGGUGGCACAGCUAGAGCUGGGAUGUCUUCCUCACUUUGAAUCAAAUGCAGCCUCCUCAGACUUCAGUACAUUAUAUCUUUCUGGCUCAUUUCUCACAUUGCCCCAUCCAGGUACUUGCAUUAUAUCUGGUAAUGUCUUGGAAUUGUGCCUUGAAGAGGUGUGCAAGCAGCACUACCUGACUGGCCAGCCAGCCCCAUUGGGUGAAAUAAAUCCUACACCUCCCUACUUUCAUGUUUUCAACCCAUGUUGUAUGCUGCAAAGCUCACCAUAUCUGAAAAUAGUUUUACUUACCUGGUUUCAGUAAAAAGCUGAGGGUUUUUUCCAGUACCCUGCAUUAUUUGCACUGCCUUUUGACAGCAAAAUAACAAUCGUUUUCCUGAUUAUUUUUCUUUGUUCAACAUAUAUGUUUCCAUUCACAUAUUUGGAAAUAUGGGACGCUGAUGAGCCUAAUGAAGAAUGGAUUUGUGAAAGGGUUAUCCUCAUGUAUGAAAACUUCAGAGGAUGAACUGUCAGGGAAGAGGGGCAGGCAAAAGGAACCACAGAAAGUAGAGACCAGGAGCAAGAGAAACAAUGUAUAAGCUUAUUGCUUUCAAAUAAGCAAGAACAUACAGGUCUAAACUUAACAAACACUCAACCGCAAUCACCAGAACUCACAGAAAAAAUAUGGCACAGUGGAAACAAGAAACUCCAGUGAAAUUGUCAGAGGAUCUAUGGAGGAUCGUUUGAGCUCCUGAAGCAUCAACACACCAACACAGACUUUUGGGAUCAAUUAGCCACAAUCUAGGGAAAAUGACCACAAAGGAUUGCUGCAAUGGCAUUGCUGCCAGACCACAGCUGUGCAGUGAAGCUUUCCAAACUAUGAAAUGGAUGAAGGAAAUCUGAAGUUGAGGGGAUGACAAGGAUUAUUUUACACUUAACUAGAAUAAUGACUAGUUAUUUAGAGUAACUAUGAAAUGCAAGCAGGCCAGUUGGGAUGCUUACAAGGUUAGGCUUGCAAAAAGCAAUUUAAAAAUAGAGGAUUAAGUCCUGAGUCACCAAAUUGUUAAUGAUAACACUCACUGGUAAAGAUAUCCCAUCUGAAUUAGGCUGAAAUGGUUCUAUAGUAUUAGAAUAGUAUGUUCUCAGUAACCACAUAAGCUAAUAGUCCACUAAAUUUCAUUGAUAAUUAUCCAAUCAGUAUCGGGAGCAUUAUUUUGCAAUUGCUUUGGGCAAUCCCUUCUAAAAAUGUGGUCUAAGUGAACCAACACUGCUAUAACCUCAAAAAUUUGUUUUUCCUCUGGAGCAGAAAUCAUAACAGCAGCUGCUCAACUGUGGUGGCUUUCUUGCAAAGAAAAGAUGAGAAACAGAGUGAACUGCUUCAUAAGCAAAUGUAGUUCACAUAAGCUAUCUGCAGCCAUAAAAUUACCAGCAGCUAACGUUGCUAUAUUCAUCUGAAAACUGCUGCCACUUGGGAAAAACGCAUCUCAUGUCACCUGCUAUGUUCAGAGCCAUUUCAGCAUUUAGUCUCAAAAUGCCUCUGAACAUGAGUCAGAGCCCUCAACUGUUGCAGUUCUCACAGACUUGAAAUAAAAAUGAAUCCCUGUUCAUUUCCAAGUGAAUGCCUAAUAGAAGAAGCCAUAUCUGAUAGACAAACCACAAGCUAAAAUGCAAGCAAGCAGAUUUGAUAUUAGGUGCAGAAGUGAGAAGAGAAAAUUAAAACAAAAUCCCGAAGGAUUUUUAAAAACACUUUACUACAUAUAACUAAGAAGCAGCAAUGAUUUAAAAUUUUCUGGUCAUGAACUGAAAAUUACUCUGAUCUGAAAUGGAUAUAUGCAGUUUGCAGUUAGUAUUAAGCACUUGGUAUAUGAUUGAAAUUUAAGAGUACCAUCCAUUAAAAAGCCAAGGCAUUAUUUACUAAUAAAAAAGAUAUGACAAGAAGAGAAGACAUGUCCUGUGUCACUGAGGAGGUAUAUCAAAAGGCGUAACUCUGCCAGUCAGCACUUGAAGAUCAGUAUUCUAUCACAUAAAAUGUGGCAGCAUUUUAUGGACUACAAAGAACUAAAUGGACUACAAAGAACUAAAUCACAUUACUGGAAAAAAUCUGAUCUGCUAUCACUGUAAGUGAUACUCUGGUUUCUGUAGCACAUUCAACCAUACUUUUUACUUUGGAUAUUAGAACAUGAGUAUUGACAAGUGUACAAUAAAUGACUGCUCUCUCAGCUAGGCAAGAUUUCUAUAGACAUAAUGCAAGGGUUUUAACUUGUGCACAUUUGCUUUUGAGCAAAUUUUGUUUGACAAUGUGGUAUGAUGCAGCUGGAUGUUUGCUGUAGUAUGUCAAACCUUUUGAAGAGGAGCUGUAAACCCUACAAGUGGUAUAGUGUAAGAAAGAAAAAUUGACUUUAUAGAACUUGACAACACUGGUCAGGAAAAAAGAAUUCUUCUGUAGUGUACCCUCAGCAAGUUUGCUGACAACACCAUGCUGAGUGGUGUGAACAAAGGAUGUCAUCCUGACGGACCUUGAGAGACUUGAGAGGUGGGUCUAUGUGAACCUCAUGAAGUUCAACAAGUCCAACUCAACAUGGGUUAAGGCAAUCCCAAGGACAAAUACGGGCUGUGAGGAGAAUGGAUUGAGAGCAGCCCUGCUGAGGAGGACUUGGAAGUGCUGGUGGAUGAGAGGCUGGACGUGAUCCAUGAUGUGCACUUGGAGCCCAGAAAGCCAGUUGUAUCCUGGGCUGCAUCAAAAGUGCGGUCUGUAGGUCAAGGGACAUGAUUCAUCCCCUCUACUGUGCUCUUGGGAGACCCCACCUGGAGUACUGUAUCCAGCUUUGGGUCUCGCAACAGAAGGACAUGAGUCCUCCUUGUAAUGAGUCCACAGGAAAGCCACAAAGAUGAGCAGAAGGAUGGAGCACCUCUCCUAUGAGGAACAGAUGGGAGCUGAGGCUCUGGGAGACUUGAUUGUGUCCUUUCAGUACCUAAAAUGGUAAAAGAAGGCUGGAGAUACUUUUAACAAUGGGUUUAUUAGGAUGAAAUCUUUUACUGUGAGGAUGGUGAGGCACUGGAAGAGGUUGCCCAGAGAAGGUGUGGCUGCCACAUCCCUGGAAAUGCUCAAGGCCAGGUUGAAUAGGGCCCUGAGUAACCUGGUCUAGUGGAAGGUGUCAUCCAUGGCAGGGGGUUGGAAGUAGGUGAUCUUUAAGGUACUUUUCAACCCAAACCAUUAUAUAAUUCAAUUCAACUCACACUUCACAGUUCAUAAAUUUUGCGAAAACACCACACAGAUUGAUGGAAACCUUUUGGGUGUUUGAAAGUAUGAAUUUACAUUUCUGGUGUUUAAACAGGUUCUUGUGGUUACCUUUUGUUAAGCUACUAAGGUAAUCAUUAAACAUAGAUGACACCUCUAAAACUGAAGAUAAUUACUGAAAAAAUAAAGCAUGGAAAGAUUGGAAGCCAAAGCUAUAUUAUAGCAAUAGCCCAACUCCUUGUAGAGAAAAUACUGAGGUAGCCAGUCCUCUCACAAUGGUGCCCAGUGACAGGACAAGAGCUAAAUAUAAGAAAACACUUCUUUUUUCUGAGGCUAACUGAACAUUGGUAGCAGUUGCCCGGAAGGGUUGUGGUGUCUCAUAAUUAUAGAGAUAGUCAAAUGGACAUGGUUUUGGCAAGGCAGCUUGCUCCGGCUGACCCUGCUUUGACAGGAAGGGUGGUCUAGAUGGUCUCAAGAGGUCCCUUCCAACCUUGACCCUGCUGUGAUUCUGUGAUACUGUGCCACUCAAGCGGGAACCCAGGAGUAGAUACACCUGCAAAGCACUUCCACUGGAAUUUCUGUGGGAGUAACAUUAUUUGGAAUGAGUGAUAUUUAGAUACAGGGAUAGUAUGGCAUCUAUAAAUAAGUCUGCUGAGAGAGUUAAUAUUUUUUAUGUCUUUUCUGUGUUUGGGAAAGGACCAACAGCGCGAUAUUACAAUAUUCCUAGAACUAAUGAUGCCUUAAGUUUUAGCUUCUGUAUUUUUCAGAUUCUGUGCUGCUUUAGUGUGUAACUCUGCGCUUCACAUUAAGUGUUAGCAAGUUCUCUUCACAGGGUAGGUAGACAAAAAAAUCCUUUUCCAGUCUGUCCAAGGACAACUGUUCCAGGCCCAAAAAAUAUAAACAACAGUGGACUGAAGAGAGAAAACAAGGAAGAUAGAACUUCAUAACCUAAAGCUCUAAUUAGACAAUUAACUCCAAUAUGCAAAUGGACCAAAACUUAUAAAAGUGAGAGACUUCAUGACAAGUCUUGUGUGUAGUCCUGGCCAGGCUCUUAAACUGCCCAAGGUGUAUCCAUUGAGGCCUUUUAAUAAAUUCCUACUUUAUUCUUUAACUCUGUCUAGCCUCUGUUCUAGGUCAGCCUUCUCAAGGCAUCACUAAGGGUUAGAAUCUGCAAAGUCAAGAGGCAAGCAUACAGCAUGACUGAAUACUUUCCAGUACAAUUAACCCAUUUGGGGAAAGAAAGAUAGUCUAGAAUACUGCCUUUAAAGCUCAUUCCAAUUUACCAUGUGAUCUUUUUGCACUGCCAGAAAGAUGAAAAAGCUGUAACAGGGAAUUUUAUGAGAUGGAUUAUACUUCAAUGAAACUGCUAUAAUUGCUACCCUUCGUUUGAGAAAAAUGUUCACGACAAGAAACUCUUUACAUCUAAACUAGAUCUUCCACCUAAACAAAGGCAUAUGCUAUUACUGAAAAAACAGACACAGAAUAGUAGGGAUUUUCUAGAUACUGCUCUGUGAAACAUUGCAUGCCUGGCAGAAAUUCACAGAUGAGAGAAAUGGCUUGUAUCUGCUGUGUUCAGGGAAACUAUACAUUACUCAGUACCAGACACUAUUUGAGCCUUGUUUGUUUAACCUGACUUUAUUCUCAAUGUUCUCUAAUAAAUUGCCAGGUGCAGUGUUCUUGCUAGCCACGUGGACAAAUUGCAGACAAUCAGGUUAGGAAAACAACAAAUCAGAUUGUCCUGGGUUCUAUUCUUAAGUUGAUCUUUACUGGUUUCUAUGGUUUGAAGUCCUGUUCAAUUAACUUUUUUACAGAACUGUGGUGCAAACACUAACUAGCGAUUUAGACUUAAGGCUCUAACUCUAAAUGAUUAUUCUACUGUAGUGAGAUUAAUAGAAAAACUUGGGUUUUUUUCCUAAUGAAAAAUUGUUCUAGUCUCCAAAAUGCAGCUAUUUUAGGAUGGUAUCAACAUAUCUGCAACAGAGCCUCAUAAAUUACCCAUCUGUCACAGCUGAGCUUUUUCUAGAUGAUCUCUGACAAACUUCACUAUUUUGUAAAUUUUUGUUGUAGACAGUUCCAAAAGACUUCCAUCAGUUGUGGAUUUGGUGCCUAUCAUAACAGAUUAUACUGUAGUUUAGCAAAAUGGCCACCAUUAGAAGUAAGUUCAAAUUCUAGAUAAAAUUUUCGAAAAACCUCAGAAUCAAAAAUUGCUGGAUCAAGAAAUAUUAACUGAAUUCAAGAGCUCCAGAUUGCUUUUUUAUUAUUAGUCCUACCUUUCAGGAUCCUUAAAAAGUCCUGUGCUUUGCAAAACAGAGAGACCAUUGAAGGAAUUCUUAACAAUUGAUAUGCAAAGUAUACUGGAGUAUGUUGUUUCUGUGGCUUGGCUUGUAGUAGUUUUCUGAUUUUACUGCACAUAUUCUUGUAUUAUACUGUGGUUAUUCAUACAUCUUUAAUGCAUAUUCUCUUACAGCUGGAAACUUUUUUGAGGUGAGACCACUCAUAAGAUUAUUCAUAAGACUAUUGCCUGCAGAAACAUAAUCCAUCACUGCAGCCUGUGUUGAUGGCUGUAUGUCUCUAGUUAUGUAUGUUAAGAGGAAAGGUGUCCACUCUUAUCCUUUUCUCCUGAGAAGACAAAGCAAUGAUGCAGAUCAGUUUGCAACACAAACUCCCUGAACAAGUGUUGCCUAUCUGCUCGAAGCCAGGAAAAUACAGAAAGCCAGGUGGAACCAUCCCAGAGACAAAAAUUUGAUAUAUCUGGCAGUUGGACCUCUUUAUACAGUGAACUUCCCAGCAGUCAGCUAAUCUGCAUUGUUAGGAAUAUUAACAUAUUUUAGCAAUAAAGACCACUACC